UACGUAGGGUGCAAGCGUUGUCCGGAAUUAUUGGGCGUAAAGAGCUCGUAGGCGGUUUGUCGCGUCGAAUGUGAAAACCCGGGGCUCAACCCCGGGCCUGCAUUCGAUACGGGCAGACUAGAGUUCGGUAGGGGAGUCUGGAAUUCCUGGUGUAGCGGUGAAAUGCGCAGAUAUCGGGAGGAACACCGGUGGCGAAGGCGGUUCUCUGGGCCUGUACUGACGCUGAGGAGCGAAGCGUGGGGAGCGAACAGG
rnacentral:rRNA from 1 species